CACAUAUUGUGAGCUCGAUGAGUAGGGCGGGACACGUGGUAUCCUGUCUGAAUAUGGGGGGCCCAUCCUCCAAGGCUAAAUACUCCUGACUGACCGAUAGUGAACCAGUACCGUGAGGGAAAGGCGAAAAGAACCCCGGCGAGGGGAGUGAAAAAGAACCUGAAACCGUGUACGUACAAGCAGUGGGAGCACGCUUAGGCGUGUGACUGCGUACCUUUUGUAUAAUGGGUCAGCGACUUAUAUUCUGUAGCAAGGUUAACCGAAUAGGGGAGCCGAAGGGAAACCGAGUCUUAACUGGGCGUUAAGUUGCAGGGUAUAGACCCGAAACCCGGUGAUCUAGCCAUGGGCAGGUUGAAGGUUGGGUAACACUAACUGGAGGACCGAACCGACUAAUGUUGAAAAAUUAGCGGAUGACUUGUGGCUGGGGGUGAAAGGCCAAUCAAACCGGGAGAUAGCUGGUUCUCCCCGAAAGCUAUUUAGGUAGCGCCUCGUGAAUUCAUCUCCGGGGGUAGAGCACUGUUUCGGCAAGGGGGUCAUCCCGACUUACCAACCCGAUGCAAACUGCGAAUACCGGAGAAUGUUAUCACGGGAGACACACGGCGGGUGCUAACGUCCGUCGUGAAGAGGGAAACAACCCAGACCGCCAGCUAAGGUCCCAAAGUCAUGGUUAAGUGGGAAACGAUGUGGGAAGGCCCAGACAGCCAGGAUGUUGGCUUAGAAGCAGCCAUCAUUUAAAGAAAGCGUAAUAGCUCACUGGUCGAGUCGGCCUGCGCGGAAGAUGUAACGGGGCUAAACCAUGCACCGAAGCUGCGGCAGCGACGCUUAUGCGUUGUUGGGUAGGGGAGCGUUCUGUAAGCCUGCGAAGGUGUGCUGUGAGGCAUGCUGGAGGUAUCAGAAGUGCGAAUGCUGACAUAAGUAACGAUAAAGCGGGUGAAAAGCCCGCUCGCCGGAAGACCAAGGGUUCCUGUCCAACGUUAAUCGGGGCAGGGUGAGUCGACCCCUAAGGCGAGGCCGAAAGGCGUAGUCGAUGGGAAACAGGUUAAUAUUCCUGUACUUGGUGUUACUGCGAAGGGGGGACGGAGAAGGCUAUGUUGGCCGGGCGACGGUUGUCCCGGUUUAAGCGUGUAGGCUGGUUUUCCAGGCAAAUCCGGAAAAUCAAGGCUGAGGCGUGAUGACGAGGCACUACGGUGCUGAAGCAACAAAUGCCCUGCUUCCAGGAAAAGCCUCUAAGCAUCAGGUAACAUCAAAUCGUACCCCAAACCGACACAGGUGGUCAGGUAGAGAAUACCAAGGCGCUUGAGAGAACUCGGGUGAAGGAACUAGGCAAAAUGGUGCCGUAACUUCGGGAGAAGGCACGCUGAUAUGUAGGUGAAGUCCCUUGCGGAUGGAGCUGAAAUCAGUCGAAGAUACCAGCUGGCUGCAACUGUUUAUUAAAAACACAGCACUGUGCAAACACGAAAGUGGACGUAUACGGUGUGACGCCUGCCCGGUGCCGGAAGGUUAAUUGAUGGGGUCAGCGCAAGCGAAGCUCUUGAUCGAAGCCCCGGUAAACGGCGGCCGUAACUAUAACGGUCCUAAGGUAGCGAAAUUCCUUGUCGGGUAAGUUCCGACCUGCACGAAUGGCGUAAUGAUGGCCAGGCUGUCUCCACCCGAGACUCAGUGAAAUUGAACUCGCUGUGAAGAUGCAGUGUACCCGCGGCAAGACGGAAAGACCCCGUGAACCUUUACUAUAGCUUGACACUGAACAUUGAGCCUUGAUGUGUAGGAUAGGUGGGAGGCUUUGAAGUGUGGACGCCAGUCUGCAUGGAG
rnacentral:rRNA from 1 species